AACGAACGCUGGCGGCGCGCUUAACACAUGCAAGUCGAACGAGAAGGCGUAGCAAUACGCUUGUACAGUGGCGAACGGGUGAGUAAUACGUGGGCGACCUACCCUCGAGUGGGGAAUAACCCGCCGAAAGGCGGGCUAAUGCCGCGUACGCUUCCAUCUUUAUGGAGGUGGAAGGAAAGCCGUGCCGUGGGCACGGCGCUCAAGGAUGGGCUCACGUCCUAUCAGCUUAUUGGAGGGUAACGGCCUACCAAGGCUCCGACGGGUAGCUGGUCUGAGAGGACGAUCAGCCACACUGGCACUGCGACACGGGCCAGACUCCUACGGGAGGCAGCAGUGAGGAAUAUUGCGCAAUGGGCGAAAGCCUGACGCAGCGACGCCGCGUGGGGGA
rnacentral:rRNA from 1 species